GUGUCAGCAGCCGCGGUAAGACGAACCACCCAAACGUUAUUCGGAAUCACUGGGCUUAAAGGGUGCGUAGGCGGCGUCGUAAGUCGGGUGUGAAAUCCCUCAGCUCAACUGAGGAAUUGCGCCCGAUACUGCGGCGCUUGAGGGAGACAGAGGUAAGCGGAACUGAUGGUGGAGCGGUGAAAUGCAUUGAUAUCAUCAGGAACACCGGUGGCGAAAGCGGCUUACUGGGUCUCUUCUGACGCUCAGGCACGAAAGCUAGGGGAGCGAACGGGAUUAGAAACCCUCGUAGUCC
rnacentral:rRNA from 1 species